CUGGGAGGCUGCCGCAGCAUCCGCUUCCUUUGCAAGAAGAAGGGAACAGGGGCAUUCAAGUAAGAUCUCAGGUCAGAGGUGUAGCACUGCUGCCUCAUAAGGGGUACUCACCUAGAGAGAGUAUGAGGAGCUAUCUGACACCCUUUGUAUUUUUUGUCUCGCUUUGGGAUUCGUUGAGCUUUACUCCUUCCCCCCACACUCCCCCCCCUCACUUUUACUGGCGACUGUUUCCCAGUGCACAGCUCCCUGAGGAUGUUAGAAAGAAGGUUUCUAGAGGAGAAGGCUAUGGUCUCUCUAAGGUGCAUGAUAUCGGAGAUAUAUGCAAGAAAGACUCUUCCGAGCUGCGUCUGGAUGACUCUCA
rnacentral:lncRNA from 1 species